rnacentral:rRNA from 1 species
UCACUACUCUCGUUGCUUUGGCGGGCCGCUGGGCCCUGCCCGGCCGCCGGCCCCGGCUGGCGCGUGCCCGCCAGAGACCUCACAGACUCUGAAUGUUAGUGUCGUCCGAGUAACUAUACAAUCGUUAAAACUUUCAACAACGGAUCUCUUGGUUCUGGCAUCGAUGAAGAACGCAGCGAAAUGCGAUAAGUAAUGCGAAUUGCAGAAUUCAGUGAGUCAUCGAAUCUUUGAACGCACAUUGCGCCCUGUGGUAUUCCGCAGGGCAUGCCUGUUCGAGCGUCAUUUCAACCCUCAAGCCUCGCUUGGUGUUGGGCCCUGCCCGCCGCGGCCGGCCCUAAAGACAGUGGCGGCGCCGCCUGGCCCUCAGCGUAGUACAGCUCUCGCUCCAGGGUCCGGCGGCAGCCUGCCAGAACCCCCCAACUCUGUGGUUGACCUCGGAUCAGGUAGGGAUACCCGCUGAACUUAAGCAUA